rnacentral:rRNA from 1 species
CCUACGGGAGGCAGCAGUGGGGAAUUUUGGACAAUGGGGGAAACCCUGAUCCAGCCAUUCCGCGUGAGUGAAGAAGGCCUUCGGGUUGUAAAGCUCUUUCGGCAGGAACGAAACGGCGGACUCUAACAUAGUCUGUCAAUGACGGUACCUGAAGAAGAAGCACCGGCUAACUACGUGCCAGCAGCCGCGGUAAUACGUAGGGUGCGAGCGUUAAUCGGAAUUACUGGGCGUAAAGCGUGCGCAGGCGGCUUUGUAAGACGAAGGUAAAAUCCCUGGGCUUAACCGGGGAACGGCGUUCGUGACUGCAAAGCUAGAGGGCGGAAGAGGGGGGUGAAAUUCCGGGUGUAGAGGUGAAAUGCGUAGAGAUCAGGAGGAACACCGAUGGCGAAGGCGGCCCCCUGGGUUGGCACUGACGCUCAGGCACGAAAGCGGGGGGAGCAAACGGGAUUAGAUCCCCAAGUAGU